CCAGGUGACAAUCUCUACCUACCCUUCCCACAAGAAGACCCAGUUUUACAAACUAGGAAACAGCCACCUGGUGAGCAGCAGAGCUGGGAGUCAAAGCCAGGUCUCUACAGGUCCUGUGUGGGGACAGCAGACUGCAAAAGUCAGAACUGAGAAUACACAGCAACCCAUGCUCUGCCACCAAGGUCGUCUCUGGGGGUCCCCGAGGAAGCCUUUGCAGAGAGUACAGACGCUUCUCUCCAUUUUUACUAAACAACUUGAAUGAAAUCUGAAUGACAGCAGAGUCCUAAUUUGUGCCCACUUCCUUCCACUCUUGACCCUCCAAUUCUGUCAGAAGUCACAACAAAACAUUUUGAAAACUAAAUCCGGUCGUGUCCUCCCGUAUCCCACUGCCUACUUCAAACUCUUUCUUAUCGUCUGGUCUCAGACCACAAGUCAACAGCUGAAGGGUUUGCCUGGACUGCUUAAUCAACUUGAAGUACGACGCUACCAGGACCCAUGUAAUGGCCUGAGAUAGCCACUCCUAAUGUCCCAGGGCAGACAAUGGUGCAAAGCCCGCAGGGAGACUUACCAAGAGUCCAAGGACAGUCUGGGCUGGUGAUCUGGUUCCACACUAGCCUGGAGAGUCAAGGGGAAGUGCUAAUUGCAGCUGAGGAUGUGACUGACUAAAAAUUCCAAUACCUCUGUCCCUUGACCCAUUGUUCUGCUUUGGGCCCAGUGGCUGGGCAGGAGAGGUGGAGUAAAGGAGCCAUCACCUUGGUGCCCAAGUGUGGUUAAGAAAACUGGCUGGAUAGCGACACCGUGUGGUGGUGACAGGAGCAACAGUCACCUUGUAUUGAUUACAUAGCAAGGCGAUGGGCUAUGCUGAAUCACUGUUUAACAGCGACA